rnacentral:rRNA from 1 species
AGUCGAACGAAGUAGCAAUACUUAGUGGCAGACGGGUGAGUAACAUGUGGGUAUCUACCCUUUGGCCUGGAAUAACACGAGGAAACUUGUGCUAAUACCGGAUAAGUCUUUACGGAGAAAGCUUUAUGCACCAUUGGAUGAGCCCGCACUUGAUUAGUUUGUUGGUGGGGUAAUGGCCUACCAAGACUGUGAUCAAUAGCUGAUUUGAGAGGAUGAUCAGCCACAUUGGGACUGAGACACGGCCCAAACUCCUACGGGAGGCAGCAGUGGGGAAUCUUGCACAAUGGAGGAAACUCUGAUGCAGCGAUGCCGCGUGAGUGAAGAAGGCCCUUGGGUUGUAAAGCUCUUUCGUCGGGGAAGAAAAUGACUGUACCCGAAUAAGAAGGUCCG